rnacentral:rRNA from 1 species
AAGUCGUACAGGUUUCCGUAGGUGAACCUGCGGAGGAUCAUUAUGAAUCAGUAGCUUGCUACUGCGCUGGGGGAGAUGGGAAAGUCCUGGCUGAAAGGUCGGUGUACUGGUACCUGCACCCCUAUCAUAUCCUUGUCUUUUGAGUACUUAUGUUUCCUUGGUAGGCUUGCCUGCCAAUAGGACAAACUUUAAACCUUUUUAAAUAUCGAUCAGCGUCUGAAAAAUAAUUAAUAAUUACAACUUUCAACAACGGAUCUCUUGGUUCUGGCAUCGAUGAAGAACGCAGCGAAAUGCGAUAAGUAGUGUGAAUUGCAGAAUUCAGUGAAUCAUCGAAUCUUUGAACGCACAUUGCGCCCCUUGGUAUUCCAUGGGGCAUGCCUGUUCGAGCGUCAUUUGUACCCUCAAGCUAUGCUUGGUGUUGGGUGAUUGUCCAAGUCUUCAUGGCUAGGACUCGCCUUAAAGUAAUUGGCAGCCAGUGUUUUGGUAUAAAGCGCAGCACAUUUUGCGGUUUACUCCAAUAAUAUUAGCAACCAUAAGGCUCAUUUAUCACUUUUGACCUCGGAUCAGGUAGGGAUACCCGCUGAACUUAA